UACGUAGGGUGCGAGCGUUAAUCGGAAUUACUGGGCGUAAAGGGCUCGUAGGUGGCCAACUAAGUCAGACGUGAAAUCCCUCAGCUUAACUGGGGAACUGCGUCUGAUACUGGAUGGCUUGAGUUUGGGAGAGGGAUGCGGAAUUCCAGGUGUAGCGGUGAAAUGCGUAGAUAUCGGGAGGAACACCAGUGGCGAAGGCGGCUUCCUGGCCUGUUCUUGACGCUGAGGCGCGAAAGCUAGGGUAGCAAACGGGG
rnacentral:rRNA from 1 species